AUGCUUAGCGCGCUAUUUAAAACUAUGAUACAAAGUAGACACAUAGAUGAUGGCCUAGAUCGCUUCUUCUUCUACCUCGUCGCGUCUGGAAGUCGACUGCUGACGGUGGGACGGGUUGUCGAUCCACACCCCGUCGAUUCGCCCAUGCCAUCUCGGUGCUUCAAGGUCUUCCGGGCGGCUGACCUGAGCAGCGGCCACGGGUGGUGGAGCGAGGUCGACACGUUGAUGGGGCACGCUCUCUUCAUCAGCCGAGGCUGCUCUCACUCGCUAGCUGUGUCUGUGUGCGGCCAAUCUGUCAGCGGCGGAGCUCAAGAAGAUUGCAUCUAUUUUAUGAGCGAGAUUAGUGUGAUCGGAAAUAUCGAGGAGGACUUCCUCAGUUCCUGUGUACAACAUGAGGGAUCAGACAGUGGCGCGGCUGCUGUCGAAGCCGCUUGUGCCGUCAGGUCUUAG
rnacentral:rRNA from 1 species